GGAUGAUUCAUCAGAUAUGGGUAACUUAACUUUUACAAUUUAAAACUUUUACUUAUCUCACUAUAAAAUGUUGGCCCAUUUGUAGUCACUGAAUUAUUUUGCUUCUUAUUUACAUGUAAUGUCAGGUUUGCUGCAUCACCAUUGUUGCCUCAAAUCGUCAACUCUCACUUCAGACCGCUGCAAACUGAGCUGUGAAUACCAAAUUAGUAAUACUCAAGAUUUGAAGAAAAACAUUUUUAUGAUCUGGUCUGCAGGAUUUCUUGAAGUCAGUUCAUCGUGAAAUAAACACACCUAACGGCUAGAAAUAGCAUUUUAGCCUACCAUAAUGCUACAGUAAAUGUCCAUAAAACAUUUACAGUAGUUCAACUACACUGUAAAAAAAAUCCGUAAAAAUACAGUACAAUAUACCAUAAUAAUUUGAAGGAAUUUUCCAUAUUUGGUUUUUAAAGGUGUUUUUCGUAUUUUUGUAAUUACGCUUUGCAUUGUGGGAACAAGAAACUCAGUCGAUUAUCGGCGCGAAAACAGUGCUUGAGCAGAUGCCAUUAUUCACAGAGAUAGUCUCGGUAAAAAUUUCAUUUUAAAGUCGGAUUUCGGGUUUGAGGAACCGUUUUUACACUUCCGUGGUAAAUUAUAUUUUGUUAAAUGUAACAAACUGUAACGUUAACUUAGUUGCUGUCUUCCUUGUUUGCCAAAUGAAUGUCAGCACACCGUCACAUCUCACUCGACGUGGAGAAGCUGGCAGAGCAAUUUUCAAGAAAAGAAGAUACCAUUACUUUUUUUUUAUUAUUAUUCUUUAAAAGAGAUUAUAGGACUAGGUGAAGAUCUGACAUCGCGGAAUUAUUCAAGGAUAACGCAACUUUUCUGCCAAACGAGGUCGUAGUGAUGUUUUAUUAACAAGUUUCGGGAGGAGCACGCGCAGAUAAUUAACGCAGCCACUUCAUCAUCAGCAAUCACACCAUCUGUCCAAUCAGCUCAAGAGAGAACCCCUAUAAAUAAUCAAAGCAGUCUUACCUCCAUCAGUUCUAGUCUUUCAGCAUCCCUCCACCACCCCGACUCCUUACCUUCAGCCUGUUCCUACCCCAGCAUGGGGGGAACGCUCUGGGUCCGGGCUAAAUGCAGAGCUCGGACCCCUCUCUCCGUACAGGGGGAGUACCCUGGGCUCGGGGGUAAGUACCGAGCUCGGAGCCCUCUCCCUGGACAGCACGCCAAAUACGCAUAAACCUUUACCCAGUUUAUUAUAUGUAAGUGUGAACUCGUGAAAUUGCUGCUGUAUUGUGCAUCCCAAGUACCCCCUACAUUCUUAUCAAGGAUUGCUGUCAUUCAAGAACUUAUCAUGUCCUCCCCCAUUGUGGCUGAGCUACACAUUCUCUUCAUUUUAUUUUAAAUAUAAAACAUCCAGAGGAGAUGGCACCUACGUUGGAAUUCAUACAAAUUCUUCCGGUGAAGAAAUCCUGAACGAGGGUCGACGGUUCAGAUGAAGGGAACCUAUGCUUCCAAGACUCAUGUAUGAACAACUUCGAGAAUCCAUGUACAAUUUGAGCUUUUUUCAAAUCUCAACAUGGACUGAACAUGCAGCAAAAGGAAAAAAAAAAAUGUAGUAGUUUCCCCAAGCUGGCACAUGGCAAGAGAUACUAAAAGCACACAAACACUUGGAGCCCUGCUCUUAAUUUAGAUUGUAUAGUUCUCUUAGUUUCACAUUGAAAUGUUAGGCAUGAGUGCAUGAAUCUUUGUUCUUUAUUUUCAAAUGAUGUACAAGAAAGUGUUUUUUUGUUUGUUUUUUUGCAGUACCAUGUCAGUUGUAGAUGACAGAAUUCACAUUUUUGAUGUGAACUGUCCUUUUAAAUAACAUUUCACUUGACUAUUGACUAGAAGUCUGUAGCAAUUGUUAUUAAUGACAGCCCUGUCUUUGUAUUAAUUUUUUCCCAUGUAUCUGAAAAUGUUUUGAAUAUUGACUGUUUCACAGUGAAGUUUAUCUUUGCGACCACUAUUUGGUGCAACACCAAUAUUGUACAAGUAACUGCUCAUGUUUUCUUUUUUCUGCCUGGUGCCGUUUAAAACAAACACAUUGUUAAAUUAAUUGAUGUAAUAAUAUGUUUGUCUUCACCUGUUAAAGGCAAAUAAAAGCUACUGAAGGCACUUUUAAGAAUGUUUACAUGAGGUAAAA